GUUCCCAGAAGCUCCCCAGGCUCUAGUGCAGGAGGAGAAGGAGGAGGAGCAGGAGGUGGAGAUUCCCAGUUAAAAGGCUCCAGAAUCGUGUACCAGGCAGAGAACUGAAGUACUGGGGCCUCCUCCACUGGGUCCGAAUCAGUAGGUGACCCCGCCCCUGGAUUCUGGAAGACCUCACCAUGGGACGCCCCCGACCUCGUGCGGCCAAGACGUGGAUGUUCCUGCUCUUGCUGGGGGGAGCCUGGGCAGGACACUCCAGGGCACAGGAGGACAAGGUGCUGGGGGGUCAUGAGUGCCAACCCCAUUCGCAGCCUUGGCAGGCGGCCUUGUUCCAGGGCCAGCAACUACUCUGUGGCGGUGUCCUUGUAGGUGGCAACUGGGUCCUUACAGCUGCCCACUGUAAAAAACCAGAAUUUUCCUGACACUCUCAACUGUGCAGAAGUAAAAAUCUUUCCCCAGAAGAAGUGUGAGGAUGCUUACCCGGGGCAGAUCACAGAUGGCAUGGUCUGUGCAGGCAGCAGCAAAGGGGCUGACACGUGCCAGGGCGAUUCUGGAGGCCCCCUGGUGUGUGAUGGUGCACUCCAGGGCAUCACAUCCUGGGGCUCAGACCCCUGUGGGAGGUCCGACAAACCUGGCGUCUAUACCAACAUCUGCCGCUACCUGGACUGGAUCAAGAAGAUCAUAGGCAGCAAGGGCUGAUUCUAGGAUAAGCACUAGAUCUCCCUUAAUAAACUCACAACUCUCUGGUUC
rnacentral:lncRNA from 1 species